rnacentral:lncRNA from 1 species
CUUUCAAUAUCUCUUUUAUUCCAACUUAGAAUCUAUCAAACAGUAUGCCAAAAGUGUAGUCUAAAAAAUGCUCUCUUCAAUCCUACUUGCCAAUCUUUUAUUGCUUUAUGUACGUACAUAUUAUGUCCAAAAGAGUGAUAGUAGAUACAAAAUCAACUUCUUAACUUUGAGCAUCCAUAUUUCUCUUAUAUAAAUUCCAAAUCAUACAAAAUUUGCACCAAAACUAUAGCAAUAAUCAUGAAUUUACUGAUUCUAGCCUUCAAAGCUUGAAUGCUUUCAAAAUAAUAACCCUAAUCUCUAAUAAGGCCUCAGACAGCCUCCUUGAAGUCCA